GACGAACGCUGGCGGCGUGCCUAAUACAUGCAAGUCGAGCGAAGUUUUUCUGGUGCUUGCACUAGAAAAACUUAGCGGCGAACGGGUGAGUAACACGUAAAGAACCUGCCUCAUAGACUGGGACAACUAUUGGAAACGAUAGCUAAUACCGGAUAACAGUAUUUCUCGCAUGAGAGAUAUUUAAAAGUUGGUUAUGCUAACACUAUGAGAUGGCUUUGCGGUGCAUUAGCUAGUUGGUGGGGUAAAGGCCCACCAAGGCGACGAUGCAUAGCCGACCUGAGAGGGUGAUCGGCCACACUGGGACUGAGACACGGCCCAGACUCCUACGGGAGGCAGCAGUAGGGAAUCUUCCGCAAUGGGCGAAAGCCUGACGGAGCAACGCCGCGUGAGUGAAGAAGGAUUUCGGUUCGUAAAGCUCUGUUGUUAGGGAAGAAUGGAUAUGUAGUAACUAUACAUGUACGAGACGGUACCUAACCAG
rnacentral:rRNA from 1 species